rnacentral:lncRNA from 1 species
UACAUUUUAUAUGAAAAGAGUUUCCUACUGUAUUGCCAUAAUGAGUUGAUUUCAGAUAGUCUAGUCAUAUGGUCGAAUGAUAAGGUUUGGCGAGUAAUCAUGACCUUAGUUCGAUUGGGACAUUGUAUGUUGGAAGGAAUUAAUCACAUGGUAACUGAAAGCGGAAAGGUUCAUUCUUCAUCAACAUUCUAGAUUGCCGUGAUAUACUGCUAGGUGUCACUCACAGACGGUGAGAGAAUAUAAAUGAUUUGAAUUGAAUUGUUCUUAUUUAUUGAUUAGAAGAGUUCUAAUUAAAUAUCAAAGAGUUUGAUGUUGAGCUCCACUGCCGAAUGGUAAUAAACCUAUGCAAUCACACACAUUAGGAAUUGUGUGCACCUGAAUCGUUUGGAUGAAAGUCGUUCACUAAAUAGUUUAGUAUAAGCGAUGAAAAUAAAAAGAAGCUGCUUAAUUAAAUUAGAUUUAAUUAUUCAAUUCGGUUAUAACUGAUAGUCCUAAUUAGAUUAAGAUCUCAGAAUCAGUUUGAGAAUUAUGCGCGAAAUUUAAAUUUAUCUCUAAUUAGAUUAGUGGAUAAUAUUUAAUCAUAAAAGAUAUUUAAAUGAGAUUUAAAUAUUAGUAAGUAAUCUUACUAGAUAAGAUUAAAAUU